UACGUAGGUGGCGAGCGUUGUCCGGAUUUACUGGGCGUAAAGGGAGCGUAGGCGGACUUUUAAGUGAGAUGUGAAAUACUCGGGCUCAACUUGAGUGCUGCAUUUCAAACUGGAAGUCUAGAGUGCAGGAGAGGAGGAUGGAAUUCCUAGUGUAGCGGUGAAAUGCGUAGAGAUUAGGAAGAACACCAGUGGCGAAGGCGAUUCUCUGGACUGUAACUGACGCUGAGGCUCGAAAGCGUGGGGAGCAAAUAGG
rnacentral:rRNA from 1 species